CGAGCGAAGCGAGAGAACGUUGCGUCAGCAACGGCCCGCAGGGCGAGCCACGCAGUGGCGAGUCAUCCUCUAUCACCGACCA
rnacentral:sRNA from 4 species